CUUGAGAUGGGAUGUGUUCCCUUUGCAUCUACCGCCCUCCCAUUUGUUUUCCCCACCCCUUCUAGUUUCUCCUAUAAACUUUGUAGCCUGAGUGUCUACUUCCAACAUUUUCCUGCUGUUUCACACUUUACCUUAUAUUUGAAAGGACUGCUUCCUCCUUCAGCUGCCAUUCUACGGCACCACAAGAACGCAAUAAUAGCACCACCAUCCCCGUCCGUCCAUUCCUCUCACUGCCACUAGUCUACAGUCUUGAUCAGGAUGGAGAGGGUGCAGCACAUGACACGCUCAGCCAUCCGGAGGGCAUCCAACAUCGAAGUGAACCCGCAGACCAAACGCAACCUACAAGAUCUCAUCAUCAACUUCUCCCUCAUCCUCAUCUGCCUGCUGCUCAUCUACAUCAUCGUCUUGCUCAUGUGACACCAAAAGAUGACAACCGGCCAAUCACAAGAUGCACUGCACGAGACCUUGGACAAUUUUGGGGAAUUGAAAAUGUCCUACUAAUGAUGCAACACAUGUCAAUUUCCUGAAAUUAUAUGAGGGCGGCACAGAUUUUUCUCUAUUUAUGUUUGCUGCGUUCUUCUUAUAACAAUAAGCAUUUCUGACCUUUGAAUGAGUACAAGUCUCAUUUUGUUCAUAUAUAUAUUUUGUCAUUUAUAUAUAUAAAACAUACAAAAAUAGGUAAAUCAGAUAUGUUUUGUAUAUGAAUGUAGACCUCACAGAAUGAAGCAGACAUCUGCACUGGUGUAGUUCACAAAAACACAAAGAAUUAACAUCAAAAUGGCUGAAAUUUCAGGCAAAAGUAUAGCUCCCAACAGCAAACAGCAAUUCCUUCCAAGUGCCAAGUCAUUUAUGUAAAUAUUCCCCCCAAAAUAUCGUAAUUGUUGUGUUGAAAUGCAAAAUUUAUAGGUCAGUCCCAGAAAUCAUAUAUUAUUCACAGAGGAACAGAGCAUUGGCACCGAGGUAAAUUACGCUUGCACGCUUAACAUAUUAAUGUUUGUUUACACUUCCUGUGAACAUGAUCUGAGAGAGAGAGCUAAAAUGGGGCAUUUAAGGAUGUUUUUAAAUGUGGACAACCAAUAAAGAGAAUGUUUGUUUUAAAUGUUCUAACUGACUGAAUUUUUUAAAAGUACUGUAUCUGAAGUCUCUUUCCCGAAAUUCAGCCUUGGUGCAGAAUUUCAGCCACUACGAGCCAGUCCCACAAUGAGCUUUCCUUAGGACGUGCCAUUUCUGUGUCUGUAGCUUUAAAUGCUAAUGAGGAGGAGAGAGGCGGGGCAACUGCCAUGUUUCGCUCGUUUGCAAGCCAUGAUGUCUCUCGAGGGAAAAAAAAUAUUGCGCUC
rnacentral:lncRNA from 1 species